GAUGAACGCUGGCGGCGUGCCUAAUACAUGCAAGUCGAGCGAACGGACGAGAAGCUUGCUUCUCUGAUGUUAGCGGCGGACGGGUGAGUAACACGUGGAUAACCCACCUAUAAGACUGGGAUAACUUCGGGAAACCGGAGCUAAUACCGGAUAAUAUUUUGAACCGCAUGGUUCAAAAGUGAAAGACGGUCUUGCUGUCACUUAUAGAUGGAUCCGCGCUGCAUUAGCUAGUUGGUAAGGUAACGGCUUACCAAGGCAACGAUGCAUAGCCGACCUGAGAGAGUGAUCGGCCACACUGGAACUGAGACACGGUCCAGACUCCUACGGGAGGCAGCAGUAGGGAAUCUUCCGCAAUGGGCGAAAGCCUGACGGAGCAACGCCGAGUGAGUGAUGAAGGUCUUCGGAUCGUAAAACUCUGUUAUUAGGGAAGAACAUAUGUGUAAGUAACUGUGCACAUCUUGACGGUACCUAAUCAGAAAGCCACGGCUAACUACGUG
rnacentral:rRNA from 1 species